rnacentral:rRNA from 1 species
UACGUAGGGGGCGAGCGUUGUCCGAAUUUACUGGGCGUAAAGGGCGCGUAGGCGGCUUGCACAGUCAGGCGUGAAAUUCCUGGGCUCAACCUGGGGACUGCGCUUGAGACGUGUGGGCUUGAGUGGGGAAGAGGGUCGUGGAAUUCCCAGUGUAGAGGUGAAAUUCGUAGAUAUUGGGAAGAACACCGGUGGCGAAGGCGGCGACCUGGUCCUUGACUAACGCUGAGGCGCGAAAGCGUGGGGAGCAAACAGG